UUAGUUGAAACCAAAAUAGAGGUAUAUCACUGUUAAUGAUAAAAGUAGAUUUUAAAAUCUCAACUAAA
rnacentral:tRNA from 1 species